rnacentral:rRNA from 1 species
GAUGAACGCUGGCGGCGUGCCUAAUACAUGCAAGUCGAACGCAUUGAGAGAAGUGCUUGCACUUUUCAAUUUGAGUGGCGGACGGGUGAGUAACACGUGGGCAACCUACCUGAUAGCGGGGGAUAACGAGUGGAAACAUUCGCUAAUACCGCAUAACAAUAGAGAAGGCAUCUUCUUUAUUUAAAAGGCGCUUUCAAGCGUCACUAUCAGAUGGGCCCGCGGUGCAUUAGUUAGUUGGUGGGGUGAAGGCCUACCAAGACGAUGAUGCAUAGCCGGGUUGAGAGACUGAUCGGCCACAUUGGGACUGAGACACGGCCCAAACUCCUACGGGAGGCUGCAGUAGGGAAUCUUCCACAAUGGACGAAAGUCUGAUGGAGCAACGCCGCGUGUGUGAUGAAGGCUUUCGGGUCGUAAAGCACUGUUGUAUGGGAAGAAAUGCUAGGCUAGGAAAUGAGCUUAGUUUGACGGUACCAUAUCAGAAAGGGACGGCUAAAUACGUGCCAGCCGCCGCAGUAA